CAAGGUAUAACUAAAUAGAAUAGUGUUUCAUUUACGUUGAAAUAAGUUAUCGUGCAAAUCGAUUUGCUUUGA
rnacentral:tRNA from 1 species